UCAGGACGAACGCUGGCGGCGUGCCUAAUACAUGCAAGUCGAACGGUCUUUCUAUGGAAGCUUGCUUCCACUGAGAAGAUAGUGGCGAACGGGUGAGUAACACGUGGGUAACCUGCCCAUAAGAGGGGGGAUAACAUCCGGAAACGGGUGCUAAUACCGCAUAGUUUUCUUGGUCGCAUGAUCGGGAAAGGAAAGACGGCCUUUGUGCUGUCGCUUAUGGAUGGACCCGCGGCGUAUUAGUUAGUUGGUGAGGUAACGGCUCACCAAGACGAUGAUACGUAGCCGACCUGAGAGGGUGAUCGGCCACAUUGGGACUGAGACACGGCCCAAACUCCUACGGGAGGCAGCAGUAGGGAAUCUUCCGCAAUGGACGAAAGUCUGACGGAGCAACGCCGCGUGAGUGAAGAAAAGGUUUUCGGAUCGUAAAACUCUGUUGUCAGAGAAGAACAAGUUGGAGAGUAACUGCUCCAGCCUUGACGGUAUCUGACCAGAAAGCCACGGCUAACUACGUGCCAGCAGCCGC
rnacentral:rRNA from 1 species